UACGUAGGGGGCUAGCGUUGUCCGGAAUCAUUGGGCGUAAAGAGCGCGUAGGCGGUCCGGUAAGUCCGCUCUGAAAGUCCGGGGCUCAACCCCGGGGGCGGGCGGAUACUGCCGGGCUAGAGUCCGGAAGAGGCGAGUGGAAUUCCUGGUGUAGCGGUGGAAUGCGCAGAUAUCAGGAGGAACACCAAUAGCGAAGGCAGCUCGCUGGGACGUUACUGACACUGAGGCGCGAAAGCGCGGGGAGCGAACGGG
rnacentral:rRNA from 1 species